AUUUUCAAAAAAAAUAGUACUUGUUGUCAAUUUAAUUAUCAAAAAAUAUGCAAAUUUUGAGUUAAAAUCAAUGAUUCAUUCAUUAAUAAUUGAGGUUUAAAUCUAUUGUAGGAAUUAUUAGGAUUUGAUUUAGGAUUUAGGGUUUGGUUAGGAUUUGGUUAGGGUUUGAUUUAGGAUUAGGAUUUGGUUUAGGAUUAAGGAUUUAGUCAGAAUUUGAUUUAGGAUUAGGAUUUGGUUAAGAUUUGAUUUAGGAUUUAGGAUUUGAUUAGGAUUUGAUUUAGGAUUAAGAUUUGAUUAGGAUUUAGUUUAAGAUUUAGGGUUUGAUUUAGGGUUGGUUAGGAUUUGAUUUAGGAUUUGGAUUUGAUUAGGACUUGGUUAGGAUUUGAUUUAGAAUUAUGGUUUGGUUUAGUGAUUAGAGUUUGAUUAGGAUUUGAUUUAAGAUUAGGAUUUAGUUUAGGAUUUAGGAUUUGAUCAGGGUUUGAUUUAGGAUUAGGAUUUGGUUAAGAUUUGGUUUAGGAUUUAGGAUUAGGAUUUGGUUAAGAUAUGGUUUAAGAUUCAGGGUUAGGAUUUGGUUUAGCAUUUAGAAUUGGUUAGGAUUUGAUUUAAAGUUAUGAUUUGAUUAGGAUUUGAUUAAGGUUUGAUUUAGGAUAAGGAUUUAGUUUAGGGUUUAGGAUUUGGUUAAGAUUUGAUUUAGAAUUAGAAUUUGAUUUAGGAUUUAAGAUUUGGUUAGGAUUUGAUUUAGGACUUAAGAUUUGAUUAAGAUUUGAUGAAGAUUUGAGUUAGGAUUUAAGGUUUUAUUUGAGUUUGUUUAGGAUUUAAGAUUUAGUUAAUUUUUGACCUAAAGUUUGAAGAAAGUUCAAUGAGAUUUCAACUAAGAUUAAAUUAAGAUUGAAUUGAGAUAUAUUUGAGAUAUAUUUGUAAUAAUUCUAAUAUUUUUUUAAGA
rnacentral:lncRNA from 1 species